CCUACGGGGGGCAGCAGUGAGGAAUAUUGGUCAAUGGGCGUAAGCCUGAACCAGCCAAGUCGCGUGAGGGAUGAAGGUUCUAUGGGUUGUAAACCUCUUUUAUCAGGGAGUAAAAUGAGGGACGUGUCCCGUUUUGUAUGUACCUUAUGAAUAAGGAUCUGCUCACUCCGUGCCAGCAGCCGCGGUAAUACGGAGGGUGCGAGCGUUAUCCGGAUUUAUUGGGUUUAAAGGGUGCGUAAGCGGCAUUUUAAGUCAGCGGGAAAAGUCUGUGGCUCAACCAUCGUCUUGCCGUUGAAACUGGGGGGCUUGAGUAUGUGUGAGGUAGGCGGAAUGCGUGGUGUAGCGGUGAAAUGCUUAGAUAUCACGCAGAACCCCGAUUGCGAAGGCAGCAUGCCGAGCCAGGACUGACGCUGAUGCACGAAAGCGUGGGGAUCAAACAGGAUUAGAUACCCUAGUAGUC
rnacentral:rRNA from 1 species